UACGGGAGGCAGCAGUGGGGAAUAUUGCACAAUGGGCGCAAGCCUGAUGCAGCCAUGCCGCGUGUAUGAAGAAGGCCUUCGGGUUGUAAAGUACUUUCAGUCGUGAGGAAGGUGUUAAGGUUAAUAACCUUAGCAAUUGACGUUAGCGACAGAAGAAGCACCGGCUAACUCCGUGCCAGCAGCCGCGGUAAUACGGAGGGUGCGAGCGUUAAUCGGAAUUACUGGGCGUAAAGGGCACGCAGGCGGUUAAUUAAGUUGGAUGUGAAAUCCCCGGGCUUAACCUGGGAAUGGCAUUCAAGACUGGUUAGCUAGAGUCUUGGUAGAGGGGGUAGAAUUCCAUGUGUAGCGGUGAAAUGCGUAGAGAUGUGGAGGAAUACCGGUGGCGAAGGCGGCCCCUGGGACAAAGACUGACGCUCAUGUGCGAAAGCGUGGGGAGCGAAACAGGGAUUAGAUACC
rnacentral:rRNA from 1 species